AACUCUCCUGAAUCUAAACUCGUUAAAUACAAUGCAAGAGAAGGCUCUUUGACACUUAACAUAACAAUGAAAAAUGCUGAAGUAACCAAGGCUGAAUCUAAGCAAUGUUGCAAGUCAACAUGUAAAUUGAUUCUGAAACACUUGAAAGCCUUAAAUGCAAAGGUAAUACCAUCUUCUUGCAUAAACUGAACUUCAUAAAGAUGUCAAAUCUCCCCUAGUGAAAUAUCCCUGUGUGUAAUUCCACUUACAUGCUACAAAGAUAAUUUGUUACUAGUAACUGUAUUCAUCAGAACAAGUGAAUCAAAGAUUAAAUGUUAAAUUUGACUUAAUUCUUUAGAGCAAAAGUCAACAGACCAAAAUCCGAAGAUAAGUGGGGGGAAAAAAGUUGUGCCUCCUGUGACGUAGAAUGACUUUCUAGAAACUGAUACGUAAAAGAAUAGAAAAACGGGCAAGGAAACGUAUGCUUGACAUGAAUGGGAAUCAGGGCAAAUUCACUUCUUUGACGAUGUUCAGCUCUGGGAACUUUACUUGCAACUGCAUAAAACGAUAUAUAGGCAAGACUAUUCAUUACAUCUUUUGAAGUCAAAGUUCGCAACGACCUGUAAGGGGCUAACUAAAUCGUGUAGCUGCAAAAUGUGUUACGGUUAUCAGUUGCUAUGUAACAACCUCAAAAUAUAGAAGUUAAAACACUGUAUUCUCUCCCUCUCUGGCCCAUGCCAUGGGGUGAUGGAGCUCAGCUGGGCGCUUAGGAAUUCUCAGGGCGAAACAGAUAAUAGUUGAUACCAAUCAUCUGAAGUCCCUACUGUCGUCAUUGGCUAUGUCUGGGGUGUGAGCUAGAAUGGAAGUAGCUGGGGACCCUCUAAGAAUCUCUCUGCAAGGUCUCUCUACAUGUACUGCUUUGGGCUACCUCCUAGAGUGGAGGCUUCCUGAACCUCAGACCUCCCUCCAAGCACCUGCCCCCCCCGGGGGGGGCGGGGGGUUGGCAGGAGGUGAGAACAGACCGUUUCUUCACCCCUGCAAGCCAAGCCUCGCUUGCUCUGUACUGUUGGCCAAACCAAGUCACAAAGGUCACCACACGGUGAAGAAUCCAUCCACCUCUCAAUGGGCAGAGGAGUGCAUGGAAUUUGGGCCGUUCUUAAUGUGCCACGUAAACAUGCAAUUGUGAAAAAUGAGGAUACUCCCUAUUACAUGGGGAGAAACUCGAAUUCUAUUAGGUUAAAAAGGCUUUACACUGGUUUCCACUAAGCUUAUCUUCUGAGUAACACAGGAAGUGGGGAAAUAGAAACAUGUGUUGACUUUAAAUAUAAAACAAGCAAAAAUGACACAAGCGAUGAGUGUACAGGUGCAGACAUACCAUAAUUUACACCUUUUUUGAUCUUUAAGGUGAAUUGAAGAAAAAAUACUUGAAUCUUUUAAAAAAGCAGUUCUGAGGUUGCUCAACCGCGCUCCUUUGCUCAGCGCUGGAGCUGCUUGGGAAGUAAUAGUCCUAUUUGUUAGAACCCUACGGGUUUCCAAGGAAUCUCUAGAUUUUACCUCCACAAUAAGAGAAAUCAACCCCAAAAAACCAGUCCAACCAGAAAACCAUGUACAGCUGAUGGCCCCCACUGGUAAUACAGCCUACGAAUUAACUCGUUAGCACUGGCCUGAGGCUAUGGACAGGGUUCACCCCCCCACACACCCCUUCUGGUCCCCACCCAUCAUUGUCAAACACAAACUGCUAUUUAAAAUGCAAUUUAAAGUGUUAAAUUUCAGAGAGGCUAGCCAGCAUUGUGCUGACUCAUGAAUAGAAUUGUUAAAUAUUUGGGAGUGUCGCAGGCCAUUCGUGAAGCCAUUGGUAGCUUAAAAUGAACAUAGUGGCUGAUAAAUUGAGGUUGCCCUGAGUGAUAAACACUGGGACACACGGUAGAGAAGGAAUCUCAGAUGCUUCUUGCUUUAUUCCAGGUGAUCAGUGGCACCUGAAAGUAGUAUUGGCCCCAUCAGUGAGAUGGGGUUUCCACUUGUUGCCUAUUUCUCUAAGAAGCCAUACAGCGGUAUAAGGGUUUUGUAACAGUUAACACUGAUGGCACCGCUAAUGGGCAAGGCACUGCCUGCUUUGGGAACGUCAUCUCACUAAUUGUAGCUUUUUGGGGAAGGCACUGUGAGCUUGGCCUUGACAGAAAAUUGAGUCAGAAAUAGAUGACGAUUUGUACCCGCCACUGAGCUGCAGAGCCAGCCUCCAAACCCGGUGGCUCAGCUCCAGUGCCCAGUCUCGUGUAAACAGCUUGCUGGAAAUGCACUGCAUCAUGAGGAUAAAACCAACCACAUGAAGGAGGAAAAGUCGCCCAAAACUCUAGUUCCCCAAGAUGGCCAUUAUUAAGGUUUUGAUGUAAGUCAGCGGCUGUGUUUUCACCUCAACCCAUCUGAGGACUGUGGCUCAGUCUGAAGAUUUUCUCAAGGGUAUGGCGAUGGGAAUCUGAGAAAUCCCACGUGGUUUUCAUGUGGUCUGCCCACUGUCCCCUCUUAAUACAGGAGGUGGCUUUUCAAAGUUCCUGCUGCCCAUGGUCAAGUGGAGAGAAGUUUGGUGCUUUAUUGGAGUGGUUCUUGGGCCCUUUCCUGCCCUGUGGCAUCCCUGCUGACGUAUCCACACCUCAUUGGCCGGCAACUUGCUUUACUUGGCCUAAAACGCUUAGGCGUUAGGGAGCUAGGGUCAGAGUCACAGGCACAAUCUGCUCUCUGAGGGCCUGGUUAAUAGUCAAAUACCAAACACAUCUUUCUGGAAGCAUUGGGUCAAAAUCAAUUGAUUAUGCCGACCACCGUUGACUUCAAAAAAGCGCGAUCCUAAGAUUACAGUAUUUUCAAGUAAAUGUGGUAAAAGAGGGGGAAAGUAGAAGCCAUUCCUUUUUAAUCAGAGGGUGUUUUUAAAAUCUUUUUUCUAUCGUAAGUUGAUGGCCACAAAGAUUGUUGUGUGGUUUGCUAAGCGUGAUUCUGUUUUGAGGAGGUUAAACUGACUACUGGCUCUAUUUCUGAUGCUCAUUACUGGUCACGGUCAAAUGAGUUGACAGCUCAGGUUUAAUGAAUUAUCUCUGCAAAUUUGGGCAUCUUGAACUUUGCAAAAUGACAUUUGUUGAAUCUAGGCAAGUGUUAGAAAUUUCUCAAACCGACUUUUCUUUUGACCAAAUGCUUAAUUUAAAACUUUGUGGAAUCAUAACUUUAUUUUGUGGAAUGGAUAUGGUAGGCCAGUAACUGACCAUGGACAUUGGCCAGUUGAAUCACGUUAGCUAUGACUUGUAUUUUCAGGCUAUUAACCUCCAUUUUCAGUUCUUGACCUAAAAUUUUUUAUACAGUCCUGAUUUUUAAUUGGUUUUCCCACUUUGUCCACUGACUUUUCAUCUGAGUCAUUAAUGCUCAGCCUCUACGGAACGAGGCCUUGCUGUGAUGGCAGGUGACUCUGCCUGGCCCAUUGCGUGCGUGGGAUAUGGUUGAGUAGUCCAUUCUUAAGUCUCCUUUGUGCUUGUCACUUAGGUUUUCAGUCCUUUUUAACUCGGGUUUUUUGUUUUUGUCUUUUUGCUAUCUCUUUGGGCUAGGGGUCGAAUCGGAGCUGUAGCCCCCAGCCUAUGCCAGAGCCACAGCAAUGCAGGAUCUGAGCCGUGUCUGCAACCUACACCACAGCUCAGGGCAGCGCCAGAUCCUUAACCCACUGAGCAAGGCCAGGGAUUGAACCCACAACCUCAUGGUUCCCAGUCGGAUUCGUUAACCACUGUGCCACGACAGGAACUCCUUAACUCAGGUUUUUAUUGAAGAAACAUGAAUAACACUUUGCUUCAAUACAAAUUUAACACUUUGAAACGGAACGGGUUCAAUAGAGAUGGGAAAAAGUCCAAAUAAUUUUUCCAUGUGCAGAAACUUUUUUUUCCUAACAUAAGACAAAGCUGAUGCUCUAAAAGCUUUUGACUCUCCUGAAGGUUUCCGGCCCUUGAAUAAGAUCAAACGAGUCGUGAUGGGACAGGGCUCCGCUUGCCAAGCUGCUGGUGGAUGUUUUCCUCGGCCCUGCUUUGGUUGGGGUAUUCUCUGCGGGAGGGGGGCCUCAGGGACCCUACACAUGAGCAGUUUUUGAGACCGCAUUAGUGAUGCCUACAUAGACCUAUGAUCAUUUGCUGAAAUUUUCUAAGAAAAAUCUCUUCUCUUUUUCUCAGUUCCAAGUGGAACCAGCUUUUGUCUAGUCCAAGGGAGUGAUGUCCAGAGUUAUGGACCAAAGCCUGCUCUGGGGUCCUCUUCCAUGAGAGAGAAGAGCAACGGCCAGGAUUUGGGAGCGCUUUUUGGUGGUAUAGAUGGAUUUCAAUCCAGUUUGGGACACAUCAAGUAAACCUUGCGUGUUUCAGGCGCCAAAUGAACCAUUUGAUUAAACAACUGGGUAUUGGCGGCAGGGCGGGGGGCGGAAUUCAGUCCUAAGCCUUUAUUUCACGUUUCUCCUGUCCACUCUAACCCUAUGCAUCUGACGUAGGUGCUUUCUAAGGGUGCUUUGAGUAUCUCCCUGUUGAAACAGUAGGAGGGUACAACCUAGCGGCUGAGCACUAAGCCCAGAGUUGGGUGGGGGCCAGACCUGAAGCCCAGUUUUUCCACUUAACCUCUGUGCUCAUUUUCGCAUCUGUAAAGUGUGGGUAGUCACGGCACUUACGAGGCUAGAGCCUGUGGCUGGCGCCUGGCACAUAGAUACUGGACCAGUGGCAGCCACGGUAAUAUCACCACCCGAGUUGCCAGCUGAGCGCCUCUGUGUUCAACACAGAAUGACCAGAAGCUGCUCCGCAGUGGGCACCAGGCUGUGACCAACCCCUCUUCUGGAGCCCUCUGUAUGGGGGAAGCGAAACAGGAGAAAAUGCCCUGCGUUUGAAAAAGACGCUUUGCAGUGGGAAACGGGAAAGCACGCGCAGAGUGGCGCCCACCUCUUUGCACACCGAUGGGUUUUCCGAUGCCUCUUUUUUGCUUUUUCAAGGAUGAGUUAAGCAGUUCGUUGACAUAUCAUUAUCACAUUUUGAAGUUAAACAGCCACAGGAUCUAUGAACUCUCAUCACGCAGUUAAUUAUUCCUGGAUUUCUCUGAGCUCUUGAAACAUACUCUAUUUAUUUAACCAUCCCCUGGGAGCGCUGGCUGCCUUUGUCCCUGUGACACCGCCAGUGGUGUCAAACCUCUGCCUCUGUCAGGUUUCUCCAUGUGGAGCGUAAUUGCCUGAUUUCCAUUUGAAAGUACAGCCCUGACAUUACAACCACAGAGACCCACCAAUGAGCACAAUGCUGUCCUGACACCUACAAGGGGACGGGGGCGAGGGGGGGCCUGGUGCCAUAAUAAAUGUGCUCCAGAUGAAUGCUCGCCUUCAGAGGGACCAGGUCUGAGUUUACAGCUGCAGAUGAAGUGUUCCUCGAGAACAAAAAACAGAAUAAAGAAAAAGAAAGCAAUAGAUUAGCAUCAGCAUGAGUCUGGUGGGGCCAGAUGGCUCUGUGGAAGCGGCGCUUUGCCGCUUUCUCCCAGUCACUCUGACCGGCAGACAGCGAGUGUGCUCAGGGGGGAGAAAAAUGAUCUCAUGCCUCAGCCGGGCACGUGAUUCGCCUCUUUCUCUCACAGCUCAAGCUGCAGGGAAGCUGGAAAAGAAGGGGCGAAGGGGCCGGGGAAGUCACGUUGUCCUAAAGAAAAAGCUGGCUGGGCGACACACCGCCCUUGGCCGGGCUGGUGACGGGAAAGCCAGGCUUGGAUGCCCACGAGGCGGGGAACCACACCUGGGGGGGAGGGGCAGAUGGCAGGGACAGGACGCCUGGCGCCUGUCAGUCCCCACUUACAGCCACCGACUUCUCUACAGCAGCUGGGAGCAUAAGAGACUGGGAGGGGGUUGCAGAAGCCCUGGAUUAAGCUAGCUCUGCCCUCUUGGAAGGACGGUGUGUUCAAAUUCUUAGUAAUGAAAAUCGCCACCUCUCUUCCUGGGCUGGAGGCCAGACCGAGUCUGUAAUCAUCCUUGGGCCUCUGGGCCAGGUCCGGAGCCGGAGCAGCCAUCUGCUUGAGCCCAGUCUGCCGUGCCCCCUGGGGACGGGGCAGGGUUACCUGGACCUAACAGGUUGGAGGUGUAGGCGGGGUCAGCCCGGAGGCACGCCGCCCUCCCUGCUGAGGAGUUGCUGCUCAUAAACAAAAUCUAAUCUGGGAGUGAUGGCAAGACACUCAGCUGAUGGAUAUGGGGCAGGCCACCAGAUGUUGGUGUCGGCGCCCAGCACUGGCAGAGGCCCACAGGCUGCAGGGCCCCAUGAGCCAAUAUGCCCUCUGAGCAAGUGUCCACACACCCCAGCUUGGCACGGAGGCUCCUGGGAACUCCAACCCAGAAGGGUGCGACCAGGAGAGAAUGGUGCCUUGGGCAUGCUGGGCUCUUGGAGCACGUUGUCCGCCUGGCGAGGUCUCCCCAGGCACCUGACAUUGGUCUCCCCAGUGUUUACGCCAAAGAAUAAAAAGCAGGCUCCAGGGUGGGAGGGAGGAGGGGAGGCGCCAAAAUGCAGGGUGUGGGCCUUCCGUUCCAGCUGGAAAAGCAGAGGCGAUCAUGAUGAUCAUGCAGCGAAACCCUCUCUGUUGUCAACCAGGGGCCGGGGCACCUGCUCCACUGUUGCUGGAGAUCUCAGAGCUGGGCACUAACUGGCGUAUUCCGGUGGGGCCAAAGAAGCAAAGCAAAGUGCCAGCUAGGGCUGCCGGCUCCUGCUUUUCUCCUUCCAAAAACAAAAAGCCAUGGCACCCAGCCACAUUCUGCCCUUCAUCUCUCGGGCAGUACCACCACCGAACAGUGUUCAGUUCUGGGUUGGCUUCUCGCCCUCAAAACUGAGCUACAAGAUUUGUGGGUAGGGGGGAGACAGCACACAGGGACCAUCACAAGAAGCGUGAACUGGGUAAUUUUCCUUGGCCCCACUUUGGCCAGGAAGGUCACGAUUAU
rnacentral:lncRNA from 1 species